GACGAACGCUGGCGGCGUGCCUAAUACAUGCAAGUCGAACGCUUCUUUCCUCCCGAGUGCUUGCACUCAAUUGGAAAGAGGAGUGGCGGACGGGUGAGUAACACGUGGGUAACCUACCCAUCAGAGGGGGAUAACACUUGGAAACAGGUGCUAAUACCGCAUAACAGUUUAUGCCGCAUGGCAUAAGAGUGAAAGGCGCUUUCGGGUGUCGCUGAUGGAUGGACCCGCGGUGCAUUAGCUAGUUGGUGAGAUAACGGCUCACCAAGGCCACGAUGCAUAGCCGACCUGAGAGGGUGAUCGGCCACACUGGGACUGAGACACGGCCCAGACUCCUACGGGAGGCAGCAGUAGGGAAUCUUCGGCAAUGGACGAAAGUCUGACCGAGCAACGCCGCGUGAGUGAAGAAGGUUUUCGGAUCGUAAAACUCUGUUGUUAGAGAAGAACAAGGACGUUAGUAACUGAACGUCCCCUGACGGUAUCUAACCAGAAAGCCACGGCUAACUACGUG
rnacentral:rRNA from 1 species